AAAGAAGAGAGCGGCCUUCCCCGCACCCCGCCCGUGGGCCCGCCUCCAGGCCCCCGCCCCACCCCCGGCUCCGCCUCCACCCCCGCCCCGCCUCUGGCCGCGGCCCCUUCCUCCGGCAGCUGGUGCUGUGGGGCCGCCGAACCGCGCGUCGCUGUCUCUGUGGCCCCGGAUCCCAACGCGCAAAGGUGAGGAAGGCGGAGAGUGCGGGCAGCCGACGGGGCCAGGCCCGGGCUGGGGGUCGGGAGCCGGGCAAACCCUUCCCCACGUCCACUCCACCCUAUGAACUGGGCCAGGCCUUUCUCACUGCCAAGACCCCCAGUCCUGCAUAAAGGCUUUAGAGGGGCACUGGCCAGGCCUCAGGUCGCGCAGGGCGCAGACCGGCCGCCGCGGAGUCUGGGACCGGAGCGGGGCGGGGACCCGCGUGGUGAACAGUGUUCCUCUGGAUCUGGGUCACGUCUCUCGGCGUCCAGCGCGAUCGAAGGAGAGCUUGUCCUCGAGCUGCAGCAGUAGAGACUGAGGUUAGAUCUGUCGAAAGGAGAGAACCACGGACUGUCCAGAAUGGUGGAGGGAGGGGGUGGCAAGGGAGGGGCUCUCUCUAGCCAGGAGAGACCCGCCAACCUACUGGGCAGAGGGAGAUACCGCCUACAGGCAGGUGGACAUCUGGGAUGAAGGUCGAGAGCCGGCUGAUCCUCCAUUGAUCCUGUUGGGGGCGGGGGGCAUCCUUCCCCAGUCCUCUCCACCUUAGUACCUAAUAGUGAGAAGGUGAUCGGAGUUCAGGGGACCGGCAUCCUGAACUGUAGAACUCAGGGUGAAGUGUGGGGUGUGAACUGGAGACCUUGAACCCGCUUAGCCACUGGGGGAGGGGGUAUGAAUGCUCUGCCUAGUCUGGUUAGCCCCACCUGUCAUCCCUCCCAGCAGGUUAAGUGGGGGCUAUGAGCUCCCACUUACUUCUAUCCUUAAUUCCCCAAAUCUAGAACUGCAGUAUGCAUGGAGAUGGAAGACUGCUAUGUUUUGCACUUCAUUCCAUCCCUCUUUGAUAAAACUAAGGACCUCCUCCUGACUGGGUUAGUUACCUCCUCCCUCCCUUGCAGAGUAGCCUUGACCUAUGCACUCAUUCCAGGUCAGAAGCCCAGAAGCCUCCCCUCAACAUCCCCAUGUCCCCCAUCCCCACACAGAACCACAAUACACACUUGGAAUCUGGCCUUUGAAUUGGGACUUUGGGAAAGGAAGCUACCUACAGUCCUGCUCUGCACCUCACCCCAGUGAACACUGUUAGCCACCAAGCCUGCAGCAAGAAUCAGACCCCUGUAUGCAUAUGUGCUUGUCCCUACAUGGUUGUAAUUGUGUUUGAGUAUUGUGUGAACACAACAUGUAGCUGGCCCUUCUGUGAACAUUAGUAUGCCUGACUCAGUGGGUUUGUGUGCAUGUAAUCAAUGGGUUUGUGUGCAUGUCCCUACACACCUGUGUAUACCUAUACAGGACUCUCCUGUUGAAUAGGUAUACAGCCCUUUAUAUAAGCCCACAUAUGUAGGUUUAGAACCCUGAUCAUCCGCUGGGUGCAGUGGUGCAUGCCUGUAAUCCCAGCAGCUCAGGAGGUUGAGGCAGGAGGAUCACAAGUUCAAAGCCAGCCUCAGCAAAAGCAAGGUGCUAAGCAACUCAGUGAACCCUGUCUCUAAAUAAAGUGCAAAAUAGGGCUGGGGAUGUGGCUCAAUGGUCUAGUGCCUCUGAGUUCAAUCCCUGGUAUACCCCCCCAAAAAAUGGAUGGGCAUAUGAAUGCAACCUUACAUGUGAAAUGUAUCACUACACAUGGCCAUGACUCUCCAUGUAAACAUAAGUGUGCACAAACCUCCCUGUGAGUGUGAGUGUGUGAAUGACUCUCCUGUGAAUACAUGUGUUCAUAGCCCUCCCUGUGAAUGUAUACUCACACCUGUGCAUGUACAUCACCUUCCUUUGGACCCAUGUGAUUCAGGAUAAACCUGUAUAAAUGUGCCAUGUACUGCACUCUGAGUGGCUCCUUUAACCCGGGGUGUGUGCAUUCUGCCCAAUCCUAGGGACUGAUCCCUCCUGGCUAUAGGGCUCCCCGCUUCUGUGCUAAGCAAAUAGGAGGCCCCAAAGGUAAACAGGUGUGCCUCCACAGUGAGGGGUGGAACAUGAGAAGCUUGCCUGAAACUUCCUGUUGCCCCAGCCCCCAAAUCAGGAACUAGUGCCCUUUCUGUGAUCUGCAGGCCCUCUCUUCUCCCUCUCAUAGUCACUCUCCCCUCCCAUGCUGACCUUUAACUCUUGAAUAAACCCUCCAAAUUCCUGUUAUCCUCUAGCCAGCUCUUGAUCCCUCCCCUCUCUUCAAGGCCAGAUAGUUAAUAUUUGACCUGGAAGAAAGAGGAGAGGCCAGUGGCACCUUCUGACCCUGCUUCUGGGUAUCUGAUGAGAUGAGGUGAGUUGAACCACCUCCACACCAAGCCCAGGCCGGGAAAAUGAAGGACCCCCCUCAGAGAUCAGGAGACCUGUAAAAGGUGCCAGGGAAAGCCUGUCCCCCAAUCCCAAUUGUUGGCUUGAGGGAGGAUCCAGGUACGGGAAUAAUCUCCAAGAUGUGCCAGGGAAGGUGGCCAAGAACUCAGAGAUCUCACCAUCCACCUUAUCCACAUUGCUUGUGUCUCCAUUAACUGGUCUUGCACACUACAGUCUCCUGCACAGAUGUUAUACCUGUGCAGCUAGGGAUACCCAUAUACUCAUACCUGGUUCUGACCCCCUUGUGCCUGUGGAAUGCCUGCUAGCAGGUAGGGACACGUGUGGAUGCCUAGCCAGAGGGUGCAGUACAGACUCGCAUAGGCAGGGCAGAGAUGUGCACCCCCCAGAGAAGAAUGCUGAGGAGGAGAAGUGUCUAAUUAAAGAGAAAUUCCAGAGGGAGCUCUCAGGCCAAGGAAAAGAAAAAAACAAAAGGAAAACAAGACAAAAUUAACAAAGGCCCAUUAAACAUCUCUGUUCAGGCCUUCCUGCAUAAGGCACCCCCACAGGCAGCAGGGGCAGCAGCUGCCCAUUGUUGAAGAAGCAUUCUCUUUUGAGAACACAAAUUCCACCUCAAAGCGGACCUAGAAGAGCUUCUGACUUGGCCAAAGAAGGGGUGUUACUUGGGGUUUGAGUUGGAGGGAGUCCAGGAUCAGAUAAAGAGGUCAAGUUCCCAUCCUAGCCUCCUGCAUCAGAACAGAGAUGAACAGGAAUGAGUCAAUUCUGUCCUAGGAGUUCUAUGGAAGCUGGACCUCCACCCUUUGGUGUCCCUGAAGACUGGGUAAUGCCAACAAUCUUCCACUUGCCCACAGAUCAAAGAGAUUUUUAUCCUCUUUUGGUUUUUUUCCCCCCCUCCUUCAGAAAACGGACCUCAAAGAACCAGGAAUAGCCCUGCUAUCAGGGGCAAGGUGACCCAUCAGUAACCUACGAACCCUCUAUGACUCCGCAACUUCCGAUUACCAUGAAGUUUGCAUUUGAUGCAGAAAGGCAUGUGAUCCAUCCUUCCCUCUGACCCCAUAGCUGAGAUUCCAUGGCCACACAACCCUGUGGCUCCAUGUCCCCCCCAUUCCAGGAUCCUCCCUGGCCCCAUGACUUCUUGACCCCAAGGCCUCAUGUCCCCUGACCUUCUAUGUGACCUUCCUGGACUUUGACCCCUGUGACUGUGUUUCCCAUCUCCUCCUGUGACUGGCCCUGGCUACCCUUGGGGGUCUUGUUGGUCUGGGCCUCCCCAAGAAGAUGUUGGGGAGGCUUUGGCCCCUCUUCCUGAGCCUCCUCACAGCAACAGCUGUCCCUGGACCCUCCUUGCGGCGACCUUCCCGAGAACUAGAUGCCACCCCACGGAUGACCAUUUCCUAUGAAGGUUAGACCCUCAAUCUUCAAAGGCCACAGCAGCCAGGGCUGGGAGCAGGGGGCAGCCCCCAAACUGGGCUCACUGCCUCUGCUCUCCCUAGAGCUCUCCGGGACCCGGCACUUCAAGGGCCAAGCCCAGAACUAUUCAACAUUGCUGUUGGAGGAGGCCUCUGCAAGGCUGCUGGUGGGAGCUCGAGGCGCCCUGUUCUCUCUCAGUGCCCAUGACAUAGGAGAUGGGGCUCACAAAGAGGUCAGCCCCUGAAACUUGGACCACCCUCAGUGCCUAUAGCCUUAUCCUGUUCACAGGGACCUCAGCUUCCCAGAACCCUGCCAGACUUCCAUAGCCCCUUGGACAGCACUUCCCUUCCCAGCCCAGGUCUCCCUUGCAUCCAGUGUUCCUCCUACUAUUCACCCCAUCCCAGUUUUUCCAGCUCCCUUGAACCCUCUGGGUAAUGGGUAUUGUCAAUGCAUCUAUCCAUUCCCUUUACCCCUGCUAGAUCCAGUGGGAGGCCUCCCCAGAGAUGCAAAGCAAAUGUCAUCAAAAAGGGAAAAACAACCAGGUAUGUGGUGGUCUGCCCUGUCUCCAGCUCCUUCCUUCUCCUCAGUUGGGGAUGCCGGGGUUGAUAGGGACACAGAUGAGGUGGUACAGACUCCCCAGUCAACUUUUCAACCACAAAAAAACUGAGUGCUGCUGGAGUGGCAGACCUGGGGUGUAACCCUUCUAAUCCAAACAUCUGGUGGCUUACAGUUUGUCCUAUCAGGGCAUCUUAAUCCCCUCUGAACUCCCAAAUUAUAAUCAUGAUAAUAAGAAGUAACCUCUAGUAAGUGCUCACUUAGCUGUUAUCUACAUCAAGUUCUAAAAUAACUAUGAAGUAAUAUUUCCCUAUUUUACAGAUGACAGAAAUGAGGUUUUGGUGGGGGACUAGCUCUAGUACCCACUAUUCCAUGGAGGGGCAUUAUGGAAAUGCCAGCCCUAUCUGGCUAAAGAACAUGGUGUUUGCAAGGGACCUGCAUCUAACUAUGUAACAGAAUCUAUCUGGAAAGCUUUUUUAAAAGUACACAUUCCCAAGUUUCACUGGCCUGGAGACUCUUGAUUCUGGGGUGAUGCUGGGACAGCUGAAUUUAAAGAGGAGAAUCCAGGAGAUUCUAUAAAAGGCUGCCUCUUGGUGCAGUGUGGAUAGAUAACAGGGUUAGUGAGAUAAGUAGAACCCUAGUCAUGGAAGGCCAUAAUGCCCAGCAGAGGCUUUGGAUUUUAUUCUAUGACAAUGGGCACCCUCACAUUUAAUACCUUAUCUCAGGGCUCUCAAACUACAUGUGAUUCACCUGGGUAUAUUACAAAUACAGAUGCUAAAUCAGUAGGUCUGGAAAGGGCCUAGGAUUCUAUAGUUCUGACAAGCUCCCAGGUGACGCUGAGGCAGUAGUUCCCAUACAACACUUUGAGUGGGAAGGCUUCUGAGACUGUUUCUCAUUGUGCUGAGAGAGAUUAAUUUUCAAAAGAGGGGUUUAAUGAUCCAGUUUGUUUGGAAAGUGUUGCAUGUUCAGUUCCACAAUGCACAGCAAUAUCUUUAAGGUUCUAAGAUAGGUUUUACCUGUGGUUUUUCAAACUUAUUUGACCACAGAAUUCCUCCCCAGAAUUGAAAGCAGUGUGUGUCCUGGGACAGAGCAGGGAUGGCUUUUAAAAUGUAAACAUCUUAGGGUAAGCUCACUGUAGGAAAGUUUAUCUGGCCCAGACACCAGAAAGACUCAAAUAGGCUGAAUCUAGAGACAGGAAAAGCAUUGGUGAGGCUGGAGUAGUAUCCUAUGGGUCAGAGGAAAGAGGACUGAGAAGGCUAACAACGAAGGGACAGAUGCCAGGGGUACAGCAGGUGAGAGAGUGGGAGGAGAUAGAGAAGACUGUGUAGACUCAAACCCUGGGCAACAGACAGGAGGAAGAAUCAUUAACAAGGCAGAGAAGUGAAGAGAGUGGUAGCUUAGGGCAUUUGAAAGACAGAGUAGGCCAGUGUGGCUAGAAUUGAGUGAGUGAGGCCGAGACAGGGGUAAGGGGCAGGGCCCAGUGAUGCAGGGCCAGGGGCUUGAGGGACUCUGUUCAGGGCACUGAUGAGCCACUGCAAUGAUAUGAUCUAGUUUACAUUUGUGAAAUGCGCUUUGAGAAUUGGGUUGGAGAGGAGCAAGAGUGUGUUGAUUGGUAGAACAUCUCUAGAAGGAAGCUCCAGACAGUGGUAGUAGCAGUCCCCAGUCACAGACUACCUGGGAGACAGGAAUAAAUGGGAGACUGAUUACAACACAUCCCCUUAUACCUUUUCAAAUUUCAUACUACAUGCAAGUAUUCCUCAUUCACUGAACAAAAAGAGUUGCAGAGGAUAGUCAGGAGGCUGCUGAAGUUGUCCAAGAAAGAAAUGAUGGUAGUAAUUUGAAUUGGGCAGUGGUGAUAAGGUAAAUUGGACCAAGUUCAAGAGCAAUUUAGGACAAAGAAUGAAUCAUGAAGAGGGACUGAAUGUGGGGGCGAGGGAGUGAGAAGCAGUGAAGAUGACUCCUGACUCCUGGCUCCAUCCUUGAGAACAGGAUGGAGGCAGUGAAUGAGGUGGGAAAGACUGGAUGAGCAGGUUUAGGAGGGAAGAUGCAGGUUAGGGAGGAGAUGAGUUUGCCUCCUGACAAGGUGAGUUUGGUGUAUCUAAGGGAUGGCAGGUGGAGAGAGAGAGGCAGGGUGUGGGAGCUCCUGGACAAGGAACAUGCCUGAGAAGGAGUUCAGUGGGGGAAAAGCAUCUCAGGGUGGUGGGAGCCCUGGAAGCUCCAGAACUGGGGGUGGAGGGAGCUCCAGGAGACACAGGAGAAGCUGUGGUGUUAGGUGAUCCGAGAGCUUUGUCACUGGUAGGUUAAGGACAGAGAGUGCCAGGGAAUAUUUUGUAAUCUGGGCAAUGCAAAGGCCCAUGAGCAUCUUAGAACUGUUUGUCCUGUGAGUGGGGGAAAGAGACAGACUCUAAAAUAGAUUAAGGGAGGAGGCCUCUAGCUAAGCAGGGGACUCACACUUCUCCACUACCUCUUCCCACAGACCGAGUGUUUCAACCAUGUCCGGUUUCUACAGCGGCUCAAUGCCACCCACCUUUAUGCAUGUGGGACUCAUGCCUUCCAGCCCCUCUGUGCAGCCAUUGUGAGUAUGACUGACCCGAGCCCUGACUGCUGACCCUAGACUGUCUAACCUUGGGCUGCAGCCCACGCCUGUCCUGUGACUGACUGUUGGUACCUCAUUCCCUAGGAUGCUGAGGCCUUCACCCUUCCAACCAGCUUCGAGGAGGGGAAGGAGAAGUGUCCUUAUGACCCAGCCCGCGGCUUCACAGGCCUCAUCAUUGGUAAGCAGGCAUUCCUCCCCGCCCAG
rnacentral:lncRNA from 1 species